UAGAACCGGGGUAAGCGUGUAGGAGGAGGACCAGGUAAAUCCGGGCCUCAUAAACUCUGAGACGUGAUACCGAGCCGCUUCAGGCGAAGUCAUUGAUCCUAUGCUGCCUAGAAAAGCCCAGCAGCGAGUUGACAUGGUGCCCGUACCCCAAACCAACACAGGUGGACAGGUAGAGCAUACCAAGGCGAGUGGGAUAACUAUGGUUAAGGAACUCGGCAAAUUGCCUCCGUAACUUCGGGAGAAGGAGGACCCCAGUAGCGUGAUGAGACUUGCUCUCUGAGCGUGAAGGGGUGGCACAAAAUUGAGGGAAGCGACUGUUUACCAAAAACACAGCAGCGUGCUAAGCCGUAAGGCGCUGUAUACGCUGUGACUCCUGCCCGGUGCUGGAAGGUUACGGGGAUGGGUUAGUCCUUCGGGACGAAGCUCUGAACCUAAGCCCCAGUAAACGGCGGCCGUAACUAUAACGGUCCUAAGGUAGCGAAAUUCCUUGUCGGGUAAGUUCCGACCUGCACGAAUGGAGUAACGACUUCCCUACUGUCUCAACCAUAGACCCAGCGAAAUUGAAGUACGAGUAAAGAUGCUCGUUAGCUGCAGAAGGACGGAAAGACCCCGUGGACCUUUACUAUAACUUGAUGUUGUGUUUUGUCAUAUGUUGUGUAGGAUAGGUGGGAGACUUGGAAGCAUGGACGCUAGUCUGUGUGGAGUCAUCGUUGAAAUACCACCCUGCAUAUGGUGAGGCUCUAACCUAGACCCGUUAUCCGGGUUGGGGACAGCGUCAGGCGGGUAGUUUAACUGGGGCGGUUGCCUCCUAAAGAGUAACGGAGGCGCCCAAAGGUUCCCUCAGCCUGGUUGGCAAUCAGGCGUUGAGUGCAAUGGCAAAAGGGAGCUUGACUGCGAGACCUACAAGUCGAGCAGGAGCGAAAGCUGGGCAUAGUGAUCCGGCGGUUGCGUGUGGAAGCGCCGUCGCUCAACGGAUAAAAGGUACCCCGGGGAUAACAGGCUAAUCUUGCCCAAGCGUCCAUAGCGACGGCAAGGUUUGGCACCUCGAUGUCGGCUCAUCGCAUCCUGGGGCUGAAGCAGGUCCCAAGGGUUGGGCUGUUCGCCCAUUAAAGCGGUACGCGAGCUGGGUUCAGAACGUCGUGAGACAGUUCGGUCCCUAUCCUCUGCGGCCGGAGGUGAAUUGAGGAAAGCUGUCCCUAGUACGAGAGGACCGGGACGGACGCAGCUCUCGUGUGCCAGUUGUCCUGCCAAGGGCAUGGCUGGUUAGCGACCUCGGAAAGGAUAACCGCUGAAAGCAUCUAAGCGGGAAGCCUCUUCCAAGAUGAAUUCACCCACAGGGUUAACCUGGUAAGGCCCGUGGUAGACCACCACGUUGAUAGGCCGGAAGUGUAAGCGUGGCAACACGUUCAGCUGACCGGUACUAAUCGGCCGAGGGCUUGAGCU
rnacentral:rRNA from 1 species